rnacentral:rRNA from 1 species
AUUGAACGCUGGCGGCAGGCCUUACACAUGCAAGUCGAACGAGUGGCGGACGGGUGAGUAAUGUAUGGGAAUCUGCCCGAUAGCGGGGGAUAACUACUGGAAACGGUGGCUAAUACCGCAUACUAUCGGAUGAACCCAUAUGGGAUUAGCUAGUAGGUGGGGUAAAGGCUCACCAAGGCGACGAUCCCUAGCUGGUCUGAGAGGAUGAACAGCCACACUGGUACUGAGACACGGCCCAGACUCCUACGGGAGGCAGCAGUGGGGAAUAUUGCACAAUGGGCGCAAGCCUGAUUCAGCCAUGCCGCGUGUAUGAUGAAGGCCGUAGGGUUGUAAAGUACUUUUAGCGGGGAGGCGUUACCCGCAGAAGAAGCACCGGCUAACUCCGUGCCAGCAGCCGCGGUAAUUC